rnacentral:tRNA from 1 species
GGACUUGUGUCUGAGUAAAGAGUCACUUUGAUAGAGUGAAACAUGUGGGCGAAAACCCCUCCAACUCCUU